CCUGUGUGACUGCGUACCUUUUGUAUAAUGGGUCAGCGACUUAUAUUCUGUAGCAAGGUUAACCGAAUAGGGGAGCCGGAGGGAAACCGAGUCUUAAUUGGGCGUUAAGUUGCAGGGUAUAGACCCGAAACCCGGUGAUCUAGCCAUGGGCAGGUUGAAGGUUGGGUAACACUAACUGGAGGACCGAACCGACUAAUGUUGAAAAAUUAGCGGAUGACCUGUGGCUGGGGGUGAAAGGCCAAUCAAACCGGGAGAUAGCUGGUUCUCCCCGAAAGCUAUUUAGGUAGCGCCUCGUGAAUUCAUCUCCGGGGGUAGAGCACUGUUUCGGCUAGGGGGCCAUCCCGGCUUACCAACCCGAUGCAAACUGCGAAUACCGGAGAAUGUUAUCACGGGAGACACACGGCGGGUGCUAACGUCCGUCGUGAAGAGGGAAACAACCCAGACCGCCAGCUAAGGUCCCAAAGUCAUGGUUAAGUGGGAAACGAUGUGGGAAGGCCCAGACAGCCAGGAUGUUGGCUUAGAAGCAGCCAUCAUUUAAAGAAAGCGUAAUAGCUCACUGGUCGAGUCGGCCUGCGCGGAAGAUGUAACGGGGCUAAACCAUGCACCGAAGCUGCGGCAGCGANNUGCUGGAGGUAUCAGAAGUGCGAAUGCUGACAUAAGUAACGAUAAAGCGGGUGAAAAGCCCGCUCGCCGGAAGACCAAGGGUUCCUGUCCAACGUUAAUCGGGGCAGGGUGAGUCGACCCCUAAGGCGAGGCCGAAAGGCGUAGUCGAUGGGAAACGGGUUAAUAUUCCCGUACUUGGUGUUACUGCGAAGGGGGGACGGAGAAGGCUAUGUUGGCCGGGCGACGGUUGUCCCGGUUUAAGCGUGUAGGUGUGUGUUCCAGGUAAAUCCGGUUCACUUUAACACUGAGGCGUGACGACGAGGCACUACGGUGCUGAAGCAACAAAUGCCCUGCUUCCAGGAAAAGCCUCUAAGCAUCAGGUAACAUCAAAUCGUACCCCAAACCGACACAGGUGGUCAGGUAGAGAAUACCAAGGCGCUUGAGAGAACUCGGGUGAAGGAACUAGGCAAAAUGGUGCCGUAACUUCGGGAGAAGGCACGCUGACAUGUAGGUGAAGUGAUUUACUCAUGGAGCUGAAGUCAGUCGAAGAUACCAGCUGGCUGCAACUGUUUAUUAAAAACACAGCACUGUGCAAACACGAAAGUGGACGUAUACGGUGUGACGCCUGCCCGGUGCCGGAAGGUUAAUUGAUGGGGUCAGCGCAAGCGAAGCUCCUGAUCGAAGCCCCGGUAAACGGCGGCCGUAACUAUAACGGUCCUAAGGUAGCGAAAUUCCUUGUCGGGUAAGUUCCGACCUGCACGAAUGGCGUAAUGAUGGCCAGGCUGUCUCCACCCGAGACUCAGUGAAAUUGAACUCGCUGUGAAGAUGCAGUGUACCCGCGGCAAGACGGAAAGACCCCGUGAACCUUUACUAUAGCUUGACACUGAACAUUGAGCCUUGAUGUGUAGGAUAGGUGGGAGGCUUUGAAGUGUGGACGCCAGUCUGCAUGGAGCCGACCUUGAAAUACCACCCUUUAAUGUUUGAUGUUCUAACGUGGACCCGUUAUCCGGGUUGCGGACAGUGUCUGGUGGGUAGUUUGACUGGGGCGGUCUCCUCCUAAAGAGUAACGGAGGAGCACGAAGGUUGGCUAAUCCUGGUCGGACAUCAGGAGGUUAGUGCAAUGGCAUAAGCCAGCUUGACUGCGAGCGUGACGGCGCGAGCAGGUGCGAAAGCAGGUCAUAGUGAUCCGGUGGUUCUGAAUGGAAGGGCCAUCGCUCAACGGAUAAAAGGUACUCCGGGGAUAACAGGCUGAUACCGCCCAAGAGUUCAUAUCGACGGCGGUGUUUGGCACCUCGAUGUCGGCUCAUCACAUCCUGGGGCUGAAGUAGGUCCCAAGGGUAUGGCUGUUCGCCAUUUAAAGUGGUACGCGAGCUGGGUUUAGAACGUCGUGAGACAGUUCGGUCCCUAUCUGCCGUGGGCGCUGGAGAACUGAGGGGGGCUGCUCCUAGUACGAGAGGACCGGAGUGGACGCAUCACUGGUGUUCGGGUUGUCAUGCCAAUGGCACUGCCCGGUAGCUAAAUGCGGAAGAGAUAAGUGCUG
rnacentral:rRNA from 1 species